CAAACCAACAAGCUUGCUUGUUGGGGUUGUAGGACACUCUAUACGGAGUUACAAAGGACGACAUUAGACGAAUCAUCUGGAAAGAUGAAUCAAAGAAGGUAAUAAUCCUGUAGUCGAAAAUGUUGUCUCUCUUGAGUGGAUCCUGAGUACGACGGAGCACGUGAAAUUCCGUCGGAAUCUGGGAGGACCAUCUCCUAAGGCUAAAUACUCUCUAGUGACCGAUAGUGAACCAGUACCGUGAGGGAAAGGUGAAAAGCACCCCGGAAGGGGAGUGAAAUAGAACCUGAAACCGUGUGCUUACAAGUAGUCAGAGCCCGUUAAUGGGUGAUGGCGUGCCUUUUGUAGAAUGAACCGGCGAGUUACGAUUUGAUGCAAGGUUAAGCAGUAAAUGUGGAGCCGUAGCGAAAGCGAGUCUGAAUAGGGCGUUUAGUAUUUGGUCGUAGACCCGAAACCAGGUGAUCUACCCUUGGUCAGGUUGAAGUUCAGGUAACACUGAAUGGAGGACCGAACCGACUUACGUUGAAAAGUGAGCGGAUGAACUGAGGGUAGCGGAGAAAUUCCAAUCGAACCUGGAGAUAGCUGGUUCUCUCCGAAAUAGCUUUAGGGCUAGCCUCAAGUGAUGAUUAUUGGAGGUAGAGCACUGUUUGGACGAGGGGCCCCUCUCGGGUUACCGAAUUCAGACAAACUCCGAAUGCCAAUUAAUUUAACUUGGGAGUCAGAACAUGGGUGAUAAGGUCCGUGUUCGAAAGGGAAACAGCCCAGACCACCAGCUAAGGUCCCAAAAUAUAUGUUAAGUGGAAAAGGAUGUGGCGUUGCCCAGACAACUAGGAUGUUGGCUUAGAAGCAGCCAUCAUUUAAAGAGUGCGUAAUAGCUCACUAGUCGAGUGACACUGCGCCGAAAAUGUACCGGGGCUAAACAUAUUACCGAAGCUGUGGAUUGUCCUUUGGACAAUGGUAGGAGAGCGUUCUAAGGGCGUUGAAGCAUGAUCGUAAGGACAUGUGGAGCGCUUAGAAGUGAGAAUGCCGGUGUGAGUAGCGAAAGACGGGUGAGAAUCCCGUCCACCGAUUGACUAAGGUUUCCAGAGGAAGGCUCGUCCGCUCUGGGUUAGUCGGGUCCUAAGCUGAGGCCGACAGGCGUAGGCGAUGGAUAACAGGUUGAUAUUCCUGUACCACCUAUA
rnacentral:rRNA from 1 species